rnacentral:rRNA from 1 species
UGCAGUCGAGGGGUAACAGAGAGUGCUUGCACUUUGCUGACGACCGGCGCACGGGUGCGUAACGCGUAUACAAUCUACCUUUUGCUGAGGGAUAGCCCAGAGAAAUUUGGAUUAACACCUCAUAGUAUAUAGAAUUGGCAUCGAUUUUAUAUUAAAGGUUACGGCAAAAGAUGAGUAUGCGUCCUAUUAGUUAGUUGGUGUGGUAACGGCACACCAAGACAGCGAUAGGUAGGGGCCCUGAGAGGGGGAUCCCCCACACUGGUACUGAGACACGGACCAGACUCCUACGGGAGGCAGCAGUGAGGAAUAUUGGGCAAUGGAGGCAACUCUGACCCAGCCAUGCCGCGUGCAGGAAGACUGCCCUAUGGGUUGUAAACUGCUUUUAUACAGGAAGAAACGCUUCUACGAGUAGAGGUUUGACGGUACUGUAAGAAUAAGGAUCGGCUAACUCCGUGCCAGCAGCCGCGGUAAUACGGAGGAUCCAAGCGUUAUCCGGAAUCAUUGGGUUUAAAGGGUCCGUAGGUGGAUAAUUAAGUCAGAGGUGAAAUCCUGCAGCUCAACUGUAGAAUUGCCUUUGAUACUGGUUAUCUUGAGUCAUUAUGAAGUGGUUAGAAUGUGUAGUGUAGCGGUGAAAUGCAUAGAUAUUACACAGAAUACCGAUUGCGAAGGCAGAUCACUAAUAAUGUACUGACACUGAUGGACGAAAGCGUGGGGAGCGAACAGGAUUAGAUACCCUGGUAGUCCACGCCGUAAACGAUGGUCACUAGCUGUGUGGAUUUCUGCAGUCGAGUGCAGUCGAGUGCAGUCGAGUGCAGUCGAG